UAAUCUGAGGAAAGAUUAAAAAAAUAAGUCAGCCAGAGUGAUAGUAAUCCAUCUGUGUAGAAGAACUUGGACUAGAGCACCCUCCUCCACCUCAGCCAUUCCAAGAACUCCAAAUGGGAUCAGAAGCCAACUAUGUUGAACACAUAUACACACACACACACACACACACACACACACACUUGUGAAAAAUUAAGUAUUUACAAGCUAAACAGACAAUGUGGGUUAAAACAGAAACCUUGUAAAACUGACUUAUCAAACACCCUAGCCAGCUAAGCUGCAGCUCUUACUGAGCCCAUGUGCUCCCCGGGACUUCCUCUCACUGUAUGAUCCACAGACCCAAACACACUGAACGACUUCAGCCUCUGCAACCUUGGACCUAUUAGCAAACCCGCUGCUCUGCAGUCCUUCCAUCCAGAAAACUCUAUAGGAAUCUUAGCUAAGACUCUCUGCACAAAGCCUAUCCCCAAGGGCUAACUUUUAAGACAGCCUCAUUUCUAACAGAACAAUUUGCCUGAUUAAAAACCUUCCAUCCCUGAAGGACAAAGGGCCUUGAAGCAUUAUUAAAAAAAGGUUGUACAAAUGAGCCCUGGAAAGGGAACAAGAGAGCCUUAGAUCAGCUGCAGAAUGGGACUUGGAGCAGGCUGCUGUUGCCUCAAAUCACUUGCUGUGGAUUAACACCCCAUUUCCAGCAGCACGGUGCUGCUCAAGGGCUCUGCACACACCUCCACAGAGAGUCCUGGUGUAAGGGGUCACCUGGUUUCAUCCAGAAUGGGGCCAAAACUAUUAGAGGCAAAAGUUCAACAACCAGUGAACACCUCUGAACCCACAACUGUCACUGAAUGUGAGCUGAAUAGCGGGAACAUUUGUUUUUUUAGUGAUGACAGCCAAGCAGUGCUUUGGUUUGAACCCUGCAGCUGGCAUGGAAGUACACACAUACAGUGUGUGGCCACACCGUGACAACCCUGUGUCUGUGCCCAGGGGGUCAGGAAGGAGCUGCUUUCUCUCCUGAGCUGCUACUGCCACAUCCCUGAGGGCUCGGGUGGCUCCUGCAGAACUCUGAGGAUCCCCUGGGUGCACCUGCAUGGAUACACACUGAAAGUAAAUCACUGCAAGGGGGACUCCCACAACUGCUACUUGCCAUGGGUCAAGCCCCAGGGCUCCCUCCAUUCCUCCAUCAUGUAACACAAAGGACAAGUGGCUUCCAAAUUCUUAGCAAACACACCAGUGACUUGUCAUUUACAUUUGCAUUUAUUAAUUUCCUUAAAGCUAAUGCAAAGCUUGGGAAGCAAAUUAAUAAUGACACAUCCCCUUACAUCUAAAUGACUGCUAUCAUUAUUUAAAGAGGAAGAAAUGAAUGAGGGCAAACUGGGAAGUGCAGCAUGAUGAGCAGGCACAGAUUUAGGCAAUCUUUCCCUUGCAGUGAUGCUCUCUUUAAAGCACAUCUUGUUCUUUCAAUCCUAGGCUUCUCUUGGGUAUAAAAUGCCAGCUGUGUGUAUCAGUUCUGUGAUAGGUUCAAUAUGACAUUUACCAAGCACAAUGCCAAAAAUAAGAAGAUCAAUAAACAAAGCAAAGUUGGGACUAUGCCUGGCUGAAGAUAGAUCCUUUCCUUGGAAAUAACUGAAGAUUUGUGUUUGGGCUUCCAAGAUUACCCUCAGACAACUCUUAUUGGUCAGGACAUGAAUCACACUGUGAGAAGGAAAUAUGUUUGGAUUUUACCAGGACAGAAAAGAAAAUGGAUCAGCUGUGAGCUCUCUUUACUGUUAACACAGCCAGCAGCUAUUCAUGGAUCAAGCAGAUGCUGCCUGAUUUUAAACCAGUUUAUAUUAAAGCUCAAUGAAUUUACAUGUCACGCAUCAGGGAUGGAAGCAGUGUACAGCUCCAGCUCUCCCACCAGUUCCACUGAGCUUGCAGAAGGUACUGUGAGGUGGUAGCUUUGUUAUUAAUCCAUUUUACAGUUUGUAGAAGCCAAAAUGUCAUCCAAUUCUUUAGGAAAGUCUCUCACUCUUUAUGCCUUUUAACUCUGUAGACUCUUCUCUGACUCUAAAGCUACAUGCCUGAAUACAGAAGCCUGAAUGUGACAGAAAACAGCUAAAACAUUUUAAAAAGUCCUGUUUUAAGGCACUUUUCUGCAAAAUCAUGAGUUAUUUGACCAGUUGGUCCUGAUAAUCAGCUCAGGCUGAGAAGGGUUUACUCCUUGAGAGAUAUCACUGAUUUCAGCCAGCCUGGCUGCAAAGCAAGAAACUAAUUGCAGUAAAGCACUUUCAAAGAAUUCUCUCUGAAGACCCAGGAAUUAUCUAUUCAAUUUGAGUCUUCCAUAGGAAUUUUCUUCCUUUCUCCUCUAGCAAGACUAGCACAUUUUAAAAAGCACAUAUUUAAAUAAAAGGUAUUUAAAUACACCUGUUCUAGAAACAUAUAUUUUGCAAGAAGCUUUCCCUUUUUAUGUAAAAUAUUAAGACCAAAAUAAUUUUUCAUGCAAUAUAUUUUAUGGUGUAUUUUUGCAUGCUUAUUCUCAGUACCUCUUCACCCUGAGCAAUGAAAUUAGAUUGACUGGUAUUAGUCUGGGUUCAUCUCCUGCUUUGCAUGGAUAAGGUUGGCCUGCUGCUAUCUACACUUUCAACAAAGACUAGAAACAGACCCAGAAAAAUUUUCCAGGAGAAAAAAAGUAAAUAGGUAAAAUACUUGUGGUGGUGUGCCAGACACCAACUAAACACUAACAGCUCUGUGGAAGUGCUUAAUGCAAAAGGCAGAGCAGAACAGACAGGAGCCUCCUACCACCAGAAUGUCAUUAAAAGUUAGAAAAUGGGAAUUGGAGCUCUUGAAAGGGGGUUGGUGGAAUUUCAGAAUUACCCUAAAGGUCUGAAGGCAGCAAAUGCAGGAGUUGCUUAGACUCUCCUAGGGAAAAACACAAAAUGUAAUGUUUAGCAAAAGACACACAGAAGGGCUUCAUACAAACUUCUCCAAGUAAUCACGCAGUUUUAAAGAAGCAAGAGAGCUGAUAUAGAGUUACUCAGUGUAAUCAUCUGAAACACCAUGAAAUGCUUUGAAUCAAUGUCUAGUUCAUUUACAAGACCAUCUGUUCUGGCUUUGGAGAUUUUAUUCCCACACUUGCAAAAGAAAGUGACAGAGGCAAAAAAAUGACUAUUAAGAAUUUCAGAGAGUCUUUGAUCACCUUUUAAGGAGCAGCAAUUAAAGAAAAGGGAUAGAAAUAGCUAAAGAAGACCACAACCUGACAGACUGCCCUAAGAGGUACCAAAUUUAGGGGAAGAUUUGGUCAUAUUAUUUUUUGGGGAGAUACUGCAGAAGCAAAAAGGUGGCAAACACCACAAACAAACCAAAAAAAGGACAUCUGUGUUGUCAUCAUUGAACAGCAAACACAAAUGGUAAUAUCCUGUUUAGCCUAUUAAGCAGAAGAAUUAGAGAAUCACAGAAUAUCCUAAACUGGAAGGGACCCCCAAAGAUUAUUGAGUGCAGCUCCUGGCCCUGCACAAAACACCCCAAGAAUCACACCAUGAGAACCAGAGAUUUCUGAUAGCUGGCAGCUCCUUAAAUCUAGCACAAAGAAGUGUGCAUGGCAGGCAAGAACAGGAUCCAAACCCUGCUAAACAGUCAGCGUUCAUUGCCCAGUGAGACUGUGAUGUAUUUUCCAUCCUACCUGACACAACCAAGACAAUCUUUCUAAAAGAUAAACUCCAUCUCAAAUAGAAUUUCUGCACUUGAUCCAGAAAUUAAGAGACAGGAGACUCUUGUCUAUGCUAUGCCAGAAGGUUGGACAAAAU